GCCCGCCUAGCUCAAUCGGAUAGAGCGUCAGACUCUUAUUCGCAGGGCGAUCUGAAGGCUGCGAGUUCGACCCUCGCGGUGGGCU
rnacentral:tRNA from 2 species